UACGUAGGGUGCAAGCGUUGUUCGGAAUUAUUGGGCGUAAAGAGCUCGUAGGCGGUCUGUCGCGUCGGCUGUGAAAACUCGGGGCUCAACUCCGAGCUUGCAGUCGAUACGGGCAGGCUAGAGUUCGGCAGGGGAGACUGGAAUUCCUGGUGUAGCGGUGAAAUGCGCAGAUAUCAGGAGGAACACCGGUGGCGAAGGCGGGUCUCUGGGCCGAUACUGACGCUGAUGCACGAAAGCUGGGGGAGCAAACAGG
rnacentral:rRNA from 1 species